AUUGAACGCUGGCGGCAGGCUUAACACAUGCAAGUCGAGCGGGGUGAUGGUGCUUGCACUAUCACUUAGCGGCGGACGGGUGAGUAAUGCUUAGGAAUCUGCCUAUUAGUGGGGGACAACAUCUCGAAAGGGAUGCUAAUACCGCAUACGUCCUACGGGAGAAAGCAGGGGCUCACUUGUGACCUUGCGCUAAUAGAUGAGCCAAAGGCGGCUUAGCUAGUUGGUGGGGUAAAGGCCUACCAAGGCGACGAUCUGUAGCGGGUCUGAGAGGAUGAUCCGCCACACUGGGACUGAGACACGGCCCAGACUCCUACGGGAGGCAGCAGUGGGGAAUAUUGGACAAUGGGGGGAACCCUGAUCCAGCCAUGCCGCGUGUGUGGGGAAGGCCUUAUGGUUGUAAAGCACUUUAAGCGAGGAGGAGGCUCUUUUGGUUAAUACCCAGAAUGAGUGGACGUUACUCGCAGAAUAAGCACCGGCUAACUCUGUGCCAGCCGCCGCAGUAAAAC
rnacentral:rRNA from 1 species